rnacentral:rRNA from 1 species
CAGUCGCCGCGGGAAUACGAAGGGUGCAAGCGUUACUCGGAAUUACUGGGCGUAAAGCGUGCGUAGGCGGCUUUUUAAGUCGGAUGUGAAAUCCCUGAGCUUAACUUAGGAAUUGCAUUCGAUACUGGGAAGCUAGAGUAUGGGAGAGGAUGGUAGAAUUCCAGGUGUAGCGGUUAAAUGCGUAGAGAUCUGGAGGAAUACCGAUGGCGAAGGCAGCCAUCUGGCCUAAUACUGACGCUGAGGUACGAAAGCAUGGGGAGCAAACAGGAUUAGAUACCCCUGUAGUCCCUGUCUCUUAUAA